rnacentral:rRNA from 2 species
AGGUGUGAUUAUACCAACACUAAUGCACUUGAUCGCAUCAGAACUCUGCAGAUAAGCGUGCUUGGGCGAGAGUACUACUAGGAUGGGUCACGUCUUGUGAAGUCCUCGUGUUGCACCUC